rnacentral:lncRNA from 1 species
CAGCAUAAGGGGCCUUGGUUUGGCCAUUAAUAUAAUCGGGCUUAGAAUGGCCUCCAAGAGCAACGACUACCACUCUAGACCAGAGAAGAUAGUUUCUUUCACUCGACAGUAUAUAUAGAUGUGAGGCGAUUGUUAUGCACCUCAUGCGAACUAGGUUUGCUCACAUCCGAAUUAACCAUAGUACUUGCCAUGGCCAAAAAAAAGAAGAAAAAAAAAUCUUCUCAAUCGAUAGAGCUGAUCAACAGCGGACACAAUAGAACAAUCUUCUCAACGUUGGAAUCUAAUUAACAAUAGUCUCGAAUCUAGCAGCAUGUCCCUUGAAUUGCAUCGCUCUGAUACUAUCUUCUGAACAUAGAAGAAAGAAACAAUAGAGAAGAUGGAAAAUGGAGACUGCAUUUAACAUGGUUCGGCUAUAGAUGGUGCCUACAUCUACAGAAUAGAUAAAUCCC